rnacentral:rRNA from 1 species
GACGUAGGGGGCAAGCGUUGUUCGGAAUUAUUGGGCGUAAAGCGCUCGUAGGCGGGACUGGAAGUCCGUGUUGAAAGACCUCGGCUCAACUGAGGGACCGGCUCGGAUACUCUAGUUCUUGAGGCAAUCAGAGGGUGAUGGAAUUCCCGGUGUAGCGGUGAAAUGCGCAGAUAUCGGGAAGAACACCCGUGGCGAAGGCGGCUCUCUGGGACGGUACUGACGCUGAGACGCGAAAGCGUGGGGAGCGAACAGG